rnacentral:rRNA from 1 species
AGUGAACGCUGGCGGUAGGCCUAACACAUGCAAGUCGAACGGCAGCACAGUAAGAGCUUGCUCUUACGGGUGGCGAGUGGCGGACGGGUGAGGAAUACAUCGGAAUCUACUUUUUCGUGGGGGAUAACGUAGGGAAACUUACGCUAAUACCGCAUACGACCUACGGGUGAAAGCAGGGGAUCUUCGGACCUUGCGCGAUUGAAUGAGCCGAUGUCGGAUUAGCUAGUUGGCGGGGUAAAGGCCCACCAAGGCGACGAUCCGUAGCUGGUCUGAGAGGAUGAUCAGCCACACUGGAACUGAGACACGGUACAGACUCCUACGGGAGGCAGCAGUGGGGAAUAUUGGACAAUGGGCGCAAGCCUGAUCCAGCCAUACCGCGUGGGUGAAGAAGGCCUUCGGGUUGUAAAGCCCUUUUGUUGGGAAAGAAAGGCAGCAGGUUAAUACCCCGCUGUUCUGACGGUACCCAAAGAAUAAGCACCGGCUAACUUCGUG